UGCUGAUGAUGAUAAAUCCAAAAACUUGUUUCUCAAAACAUUUGCAGUGGCUGCCUGCGGGCUUUCGCCUCGCCAUGCUUGAGAGCCUUUGCUGCUCAAUGCUUCCUUGGAUAUCUGAGAUC